GUCAGGCCUAUGAGCCUAUCCUAGGUACAUGGCUUCAUCCGUGCCCGCAAGUGGAAGGGAGGGGCCUCAGGCCUGCGCCGCAGUCGACAGAUCCUAACCAACCGCCGCGCCGAGCUCCACCGGCGCCCUCUCCCGCCCGAGCUUGCUCCGGCGACAAUGUGGAACGACGAGCUUGACGGCAGAGGCCGGGGCUCCGGCCGUCCUACCCCAGGUACCUCCGGUCUUGCUUACCCGGGGAGCGCGAGGUGGACCGAAACCCACCCCGCGGGCUUGGAGCAGUGGUGCGCGGCGCCGGCACGGCCGGCCGUGUGGACGUGAUGCGAUUUGGGACGAAGAUGGGAACGAGGGAUGCGAUGCGGCAAUUGUCAACAAGAACCGCGUGGUUGACACUGACGAGAAGACGUGGUUACAUCCCUUGUAUCCCCCUGAGAAGACUUGGCGCUGACCUCUGCCUCUACGGAGCGAGCAGCCUAUCCGUUCCGUUCAUCCUCUACAACUGCGAUUAGUUGGCGAGUCUUUGCUUCUUCUUUGUUCUUUAAUAAUCAGAUUGCCUUGCCGGCCACCUAGGUGCUGAAAUCCGAAAUCCGGGAGUCGUUUGGUGUAGGGAUCGUCCAGGAGCAAAGUAAAGGAGAAGCCAGGAAAACGAGCUUUCCGGAGAAAUCUGAAUUCUGGAUGAUCAACGCAGCCUAUCCUUUAAUCGGUCAAGCAGCGGCAAAGUAAAGAAGAAUCCAAAUCACCACUUACCAGAUAGUGACAGGAUGGUCGAUGCUGUGGGCAGCGUGAAGCAGGUUGUCUAGGUCGCGCUCAAGAUCAAGGAGGCGGCGGACACGGUUCGUCAUAACAAGGAGGUCUGCCAUCAGAUUAGAGGCCGCGUGAAUAGACUUCGUGCUAUCCUGUCGAAGCUCGAGGAUGCUAAUACCAUGAACGAUUCGGCGACUAGCGACACUCAAGGACCUCGAAGAGACUCUGCUUCGUGCCUACAGGCUUGUCCAUGCCUGUCGAGGGAAGAAGAACAUCGUUUCCCUUCUCUUCACUGCCGGGAAGCUCUCGAGACAACUGCGCCAGGUCAAUGGCGAUAUUUUGGCUCAGAUGGCGGUUGCAAAUUUUGGCAACAAUGUUCAGACCGCCAUUAUGCUGAGUAAACAUUUUCAAGACCCCCCAAAGGACCAAGAACAAAUGAGACUUUCGUUGUUGUUUCGGGAGGAUGCAGAGCAUGCCAUAAAGUCGCCCGACAAGUCACUCACGCAUGACUCUAGGUAGGUUCUCUCAAUAUGCAUUUUCAUCACCAUCCAUUUAAAGGUACUUCAGUGCGAGUCAUUUUCUCUGAUAGUUUAUUUUAGAGUCUCUUACCUCCUUGAUCUACGUACAGUCAAUAUACGCCGUAAAUAAAUGAAGCAAAUUUCCUAUCUUGCUCUGUUUGGGUGAUUUGGGUGGUGAGCACUGCCUUGCACAGCUUCCCGCCAUCAUCUGGCGCCUGUUGCAAGCUCUUGAUGCUUUUGUCCUUGUGAGAUUCAUUGACAAUGCGGCUGUCUAUAGCAGCAAGGGCGGCAGAGGAGUUGCUGCCGAGGGGGAAGUGCAUGCUUGCGGGACCUGUGGCUCUGUGCAAGGAGGCACGCUCUCCCAUCUCCCCUUCUUGAUUUUGAUCCAGCUGCGCCAUCAGUGUGUGGUGGGCCCCUUGUCAAUUGGAUGAAUGCCGGAUGCGGCCCUUUAUAAGUUGUCAAGAUGCCAUUCAUGGCUUUCGGUAGCAAUGCCCUCUCAUGUUGAUUGGUAGCGUGAUGGCCACUCAUGGAAUGUUCAUUACUGCCACACUCGUUUUUUUUUCAGAUAGGUGCCUCUAUGUGCCAUGGGAGGUCAAUGGGUAUGGGUGACAAUGGACGUGGUACAUGAUUGAUAGAUCUAGGGCGUUUGUGGUUGCAUGUCAGUCAUCCACAUUGGUGUAAGUGGUGAUCUGGUCGUCAUUGGUUGGAUCAGACAAGGAGGUAUUGAGUUGUUGUCUCUCAGCGGAGGCGGAGUUUAUGUGCUCGCGCACAAAUGCGCUCGUAAUCUGGGCGGUUCCUAUUAGGUGGGGAUACGAGCCAUUCAUUGCGUGGGCCAUCUCAAGGGGCAGACGAAAUAUAGUAGGAAAAGCGAAAUACAUGCGCUGUGAACCCUGGACUGUGGGCCAUGUUUGUGACGGAGAUAGAACGCCGUGGACGGCUCCAAGCAGAGCCGUGGCCCAUGACGGCAUGUUCUUCCCGAUCCAUGGCCCAUGAAACUUGCUUUCCAGUUACAGACAGGGAUGGUGAGCUCACUCAGGGUCGUCUCCUACCUACGCCGCCUUGAUUAGUCACUUGCCGAAGCGGCGGAGCUCUGCUGCGAUUCUCGCGGGCGACCGGGCGAACGGAACCGGUGGACGCCGAUUAAGAGGACAGCCGUGCUUGAACAGGCAAAUGACAGCGAUAUUCUGAUGCAGCCGCUGCACUACCUAGUGGCGCGGCCGGCUGAGGAGCCGCUGGCAGCUAUGGUGGAAGUAAGUGCGGACGGCCAGAUCCAUGCGGCGGAAGGGGCAAUGGAUGCACAAGAAGGGUCCACAAGAGCGUCGGAGCAGUCAAUUGGAUAGACCGACCCUAGAGCUCCUGGCCGGAAAAGAAGGGUGAGAGUAGGUGCUGCUGUCCCAGUAAGGAUGCCAUGUCCUAACCGGACUACUGCUCUGGAGAAGGCUAUCCAUGGUUUUGCCGACAAUCUUGGGGACAAUGUCAUAGUGCCAACUUUGGGUACAACCUUUGAUUCUCUGGGAAAUUGUUUGCGGCUGUGCAGUAUGGGAAUAGAAGGGGAGCCUUGGCGCAGUGGUAAAACUGCUGCCUUGUGACCAUGAGGUCACAGGUUCAAGUCUUGGAAACAGCCUCUUACAGAAAUGUAGGGUAAGGUUGCGUACUAUAGACCCAAAGUGGUCGGACCCUUCCUCGGACCCUGCGCAAGCAGGACCUACAUGCACCGGGCUGCCCCCCUUCCCUGUGCAGUAUGGGAAUAAGGAUUUGACACUUGUUAGUAUUUCAAAUAAUUUUGUGCAGGAGCUAUAGCUGAAAUGUUCUAUCUUUUUUCGUGUUUUUUUUUCAGGGAAAGGCGGGGUUUGACAACACUAUGUCGUGUCGUUGCGAUUGCCUUGCUCUCAUCAUGUUGUUGCUGUCCAAAGACAAUGAUUAGUACAUAGCAGAAGACCCUGAGGAGCACAACUACGGAAGCUGAUCCAAGGCACAGGAGGUUCGCUUUCAGGUUUGUGUAGAUGGAGAGAAUUAAUUUCGGUUAGGUUGAUACUUUGAGGAUCUAUUACUCGUUUUUGGUCAAAAGGGUCGAAUUGCUGAGACGACAGGGGUGGAGAGGGGCGACUCCAUUGGCGGUGAUGGAGUUGCUGAUGCGACCCAUGAGCAGAUUCCCCUUUCUGGAGGAAUUGGAUGAGAGUGCAACCCCGAUGGAACCGGCAGCGUUCACAGUGGUUCGUUUGGUACCGGCUGCCGAGCAAUCGGCGGGACUAGCCAUGAGCGCGGACAAGCAGGUUGUGAGGAAGACAUGGCAAAAGGUGUGAGAUGAAAGGCGUCGCCGCUGGUGUCCGAGAUGUCCACCGGGAAGAUGAAGUUCCUACAGUCCUACAGGCACCUGGUUGGGCUAAGAGGUGUGUUUCCCUAAAUCAAUCAAAUUAGUAUGCAUUGCUGAAUAUUUGUUGUUGAGCGAUUAGGAGUGAUGCUGUCAUACGUGUAUUGACGUCCCCUUGGGGUUCAGAACAUUCAGACAGGUAGUUGAUGCUGUUCUUAAGUAGUGUACGGUUAUGAAUGGAUGAUGAUCUAUCCAGCUUGGAGCAUGUUGUUACUAAUUUGAAGGUUGCUGUACAAUUGGUUAUGAGUUAUGAUUUAUGGGGAGUGAUUUGUAGUUA